GACGAACGCUGGCGGCGCGCUUAACACAUGCAAGUCGAGCGAAGCGGCGGACGGGUGAGUAACACGUGAGUAACCUGCCUUAGACAUUGGGAUAGCCUCGGGAAACCGGGAUUAAUACCAAAUGGUCUAAGAUGGACUCGCGUCCCAUUCGCUAGUUGGUGAGGUAACGGCCCACCAAGGGGACGAUGGGUAGCCGGCCUGAUAAGGUGAACGGCAACAUUGGAACUGAGAAACGGUCCAAACUCUACGGGAGGCAGCAGUGGGGAAUAUUGCACAAUGGAGGGAACUAUGAUGCAGCGACGCCGCGUGAACGAAGAAGGCUUUCGAGUCGUAAAGUGCUUUUAUAUGGGACGCGGUACCAUAAAAAAAAGCCCCGGCUAACUACGUGCCAGCCGCCGCGGUAAUAC
rnacentral:rRNA from 1 species